rnacentral:lncRNA from 1 species
CCACUUAGCAAAGGCAGGGAUUGAACCCACAACCUCAUGGUUCCUAGUCGGAUUUGUUAACCAAUGAGCCACGAUGGGAACUCCUAGUGAGUUUUUUAUUUCGGUUAUUGUAUUUUGCAUCUCUUCUUGGUUAGGUUUUAUAUCUUGUAUCUCUUUGCUCAGUGUUUCCUAUAAGUUAUCCAUCUUUGCCUCCAGUUUAUUUCCAAUGUCUUGCAUCAUCUUCAGCAUCAACAAUCUGAAGUCUUUUUCCUGGAGGCUGAGAAUCUCCUCAUCGCUUAGCUGUUUUUCUGGGGUUUUUCCUUUCUCCCUCAUCUGAUUAUAGUUCUCUGUCUUUUCAUUUUUAUAGGUUUUUGGUGUGGUGACCUUUUUACAGAUAAUAGAGUUGUAGUCUGUCUUACUUCUGGUAUCUGCCCCUCUUGUGGCUGAAGUCAGUAUGGGGGCUUGCUGUAGGCUUCCUGAUGGGAGGGGCUGAUGCCUGCCCACUGAUAGGUGGAGCUGAUUCUAAUCCCUCUGGUGGGUGGGUCUUAGUCUCUGGAUGGGAUUGGAGGCAGCUGUGUGCCUGGGGUGGGGGGGCUUUAGGUAGCCUGUUUACUGAGGUGUGGGGCUGUGAUCCCACCUGGAUUGUUGUUUGGCCUGGGGCUUCUCAGCACUGACUGAUGGGUGGGGCUAGAUUUUCCCAAAAUGGCCACCUCCAGAGAAAGGCAGCUGCUGAAUAUUCCCAAGAGCUUUGCCUUCAAUGUCCUUCUCUCACAACAAGCCACAUUCACCCCUGUUUUCCCAGGAUGUCCUCCAAGAACUGCAGUCAGGUUUGACCCAGAUUUCUAUUCAGACCUCACUCUGCCCUGGGAUCCAGUGCACGUGAAAGUCCAUGUGCACCUUUUAAGAAUGGGGUCUCCGUUUCCCCCAGUCCCGUGGAGCUCCUGCACACAAGCCCCACUGGCCGUCAAUGCCAGAUGCUCCAGGGGCUCUUUCUCCCCGUGCCAGAUCCCCGCACGUGAGGGUUUGAUGUGGGGCUCAGAACUCUCACUCCUGUAGGGGAGUCUCUGUGAACCAGUUAGUUUUCAGUCUGUGGAGCUUCCCACCCGGGAGGUAUAGGGUUGUUUAUAUCGUGAAAUCACCCCUCCUACCUCUUGAUGUGGCCUCCUCUUUUUCUUCUGGAGUAGGGUAUCCUUUUUAAGGUUUUUGGUCCAUUUGGGUGGUGAUCACUCAGUCUUUAGUUGUGAAUUUUGUUAUUUUUAGGAGAGAAGUUGAGCUCCAGUCCUUCUAUUCCACCAUCUUAAUCCUGUCUCCUGUCCAUAUUUUUAAAAUAGACAUCAGAUAUCAUGAAUAAAAUUAGUAUGAUAAAUAAAUCUUUAUACAUUUUUAAUGCUUCUUCCAAAAAGAGCUCAAUAGACUAUAUUAAAAGAUAGGUUUUGAAUCUCCUCUCCAUGAAGUUAUCUCAACUUGAUUAGGUCUUUUUGGACAUUAAAUCCUCUCAAUGCCACGAGAGCCAAUUUAUCAUCAUGAGAUAGUCAAAAGUUAACAUACAUAGAAAUAUCUAUGUAAAGCUGUACUGUAGCCCAUGUAGCAAAUAUAAAUCACCAAGACAGGAAACAACUUAUCCUUGAAAGGAAAAAGGGAGGAAAGAAAGGAUAGCAGGAUAGAAGAUUUCAAUUUCAUCAAUAAAAACAGAAUUCCCUGAGUGUCGUUUUUUCCACUGAAACUGAAAUAAGAACAAGACAGGAUGUCAACCUACACACCUCAAACAGUGUUCUGAGUUUGUGAUACAGAGCAGGUUAUGUAUGUCCAUUUUUCACCAGUGAAGAUCUGUCGUUUAGCCAGAGCAACUACAAGCCAAAAAUCCCCAUUAUUGUGUGCCUGUCCUUUCAGUGGAGACACCAUCUUUUUCAAAACACAAGGGAGCCACAUUUUGGGCUGUGUGUCAGGCAGCUGUUCUGUGGAAAGAGGGUCUCCUACUGAUAAAUAAGACAAAGCCUUUGCUGUGCCCUUGCAGGUGCUUAUGUACUGACAGGAAGAAAUUCUGAUCUUUAAUGUGUGUAAUAAUGGGCUUUAAUGUUCAUCUGGUGAAGUACCACAAAGUUUUACACAUUGACCAUAAAAGGAAAGAACCAUAUCGUCUCAACUCAAUUAGUUUUGCAUUCUCACCAUUAUUAAUGACAUUUAUAAUAUAUAGUUUAUUCUGAAAUUAUUUCCAGCCUUUUUUCCUUUUUAGAAUCUUGGUGGAACAGGUCUGGCAGCAUAACCAAGCCUAAAUCAUGGUUUAUACUUUUGUGCACUGAUUGGUAUUGCAAUACUGGUGCCCAAAUACAUAUGAUACUGUCCUGGAAAAACUCAUUUAUUCAAGUUUGUCCAUAAUUAACAUGGGGAAAAAAAGAUCAAAUUCAUUUCCACAAAGCUUGUCACAGACUUAUUUAUUCCUCUUUCCUAAUAAUGCUAUUAUCUUAAACACUUUAAUUGUAGUUACUUUUCCUGUCUUUUGUGUUAUUACUCUCAUACAUUUUAAUUGUACAUAAUUUUUAAAUGCAUUUGAACAGUCAAUAUUCAAUUAUAUUUGUCCAUCUGUUAAUCCUUUCCUGUGUUCUUUAUACCUGCCAUUUCCAUGUUUCUGCCUGAGAUCAUUUUCUUUCUUUUUAAAGAACUUCUGUUAAUAUUUCUCUUUACAUGCCUGCUGAUACCUAAUUUUCUCAGGUUGUGCUUUCUGAAAAAUAUUUUUGAGGGUAUUUUCCCUGAGAUAAAAUUCUAGGUUGAAGGUUUUGUUUAAUUGGUUUUUCUUUCAGCCCUUUAAAGUUGUCACUCCAUUAUGUCCUGUUUCUGCUGUCAUUGUGUCUCCUUUGAAAGUAGGAUAUCUUUUUCUCAGGAUGCUUUUCUUCUCUUUGGCUUCAAGCAAUUUUAUUACUGUGUCCCUGGUUAAUUUUUUAAUCCUGUCUGGGCAUCAUAAACCUUGAAUCUUUGAGUUGAUGUUUUUCAUCAAUUUUGGAAAAAUUACUUAUCACAUUCUCUUUUAAUAUUGCUUUUCUUUCUCUCUUUUUUUUUGGUACUCUAAAUACAAGUAUUUUAGAACUUUCCACUGUAAUUUGGAUCUGAUGCUCAUUUUUAAUGUAACUUGGGGUUUUUUCCAGCUUGUUUUAGUUUAUGAAUUUUUCUAAUAACCUGUCUUUUACUUCUUUAAUCUUAUCUUCCUCUCCAAAUAUGCUACCAAAUCCAUCAUUUGAGUUCUUUCCCUGAAAAAUCAUAAACUCUAAUCAUUGCCUCUUUGGCAGUAGAAAUUAGCAUAAAUUAUACUCUAUUUUUUUAGCAUUCUUUGCUUGUGUUUUUAGCCUCUACCCCCAUUUAACUUCAAAAUUUGGUGAAUAACUUGAGAGUGAAGCAGCCCUAUCUUUGAAGCUCCUUUAAUCUCCAGUUUUAUCACACUUUUUUCAAGUCUUACAGAAGCUCUGCUGGUUUUUCUGACAUCCAUUUUCUCUUUGGUAUACAAGCAGUGUAUUCUUGCUUACACCAAGAAUUAACACACAUACCCAGCUGCAAAAUACCCCUUCUCUGGAUUAUUAACUCUCCCACUUCUUGUUGUUUCAGCAGUUUUCAGUUGCCUUUAAUAGAUUAUUUUUACAUUUGGUUUACUUAUUCUAAUUUUGGUUGGCCAUAGCUGCUUUAUUCCAUCUAGAAGCUUUUAAUUUUAUUUAUAUAGGUAUUUAGCAACAGCUUUUGGUCCUUACUUUCAAUGAAAGAAUAAUUUUUUUCAAUAUUCUUAGAAAAACAUAUAUUUAUUUUAGUUUAUUUUAUUUCUAGGUACAAGGGGAUCAAAAGAGCAUUUCUAUUUAGAGAGUUUUAUUUUUCAUUGAAUUUUUAUCAAUAACAGAUUCUAUUUUUAAUUAUGUGUAGAUUCAAAGAAUUAGAAAUACCUGAGAAUAUUGACUUUACUUUCAAAAAUUUACUUGUUUUUACAUAGGAACAUACUUUUCUGUAAUGUGGCUAAAGAUUGACUUGGGAAGGACAUUUUUAAGACUAUUAUAUUCAAGAAUCUAUUCGGUGAAACCAUAAUGAGACAUAACUAAUUCGUAAUGAAAAUAUGCCAUUCAAAAACAAAUUCAGCAAAAUAAUCACAAAUUUAUUCUCACUCCAAGAUGGAAUUGAGACAAAAUGAGAAAACUGCUAAUAAUUCUUGUUUCCAAGUCAGCAGUAUGAACUUUUCCUCUCAGAACAGGCAAAAGAAAUAGCAUGAUUCUAGGCCACCUAGAUGUUUCAAUAUUAAUGAAUCGCUGCUACAUGCAUUUUUUUUUUCUAUCCAAAAAAGGGUAAGAGCUUAAGUUACUUUGCACCUCAUGACCAAUGGAAUUAUAUCACACUUUCUUCCCCAGAAAACUCAAAAUGGCUUACAGAAAAUAGAAACUAAAGGUAUAUUUUAAAAGAGUAGAAGGAAGUACCCUGGGCUAGGGAAUGGUAAUGAAUGCUAUAAGAGUCAAAGCAAGGAAGCCAUCCAAUUUAUUAAACAUCAUUUUUCUUUCAAACAAAUAAUAUACACAUUUUAUUUAUUUUUCUCUUCAUCCUUUAAGGUAGUGUUGAAGCAAUUGAUGGAAAUCGAGUUAAUGCUUAUAGUUUAUUUCCUACAGUUUGAAAAAAGAAAUCCCUAAAUAGGUUGGACAAUGGUCUUUUGAUUACCUCCAACUUGAUAAUUCUACAAUGCAGGCCAACUCUGAAGGCAGGUGUAAUUAACAUCUUAUUAUGAGAUGUGCUAUGAAGAGGGACUUUCUGUUCCAAAUAGCUUUCUUCUACUACCAAGUUUUCUUCUCCCCAGACUUGAACAACAUUAGGUGUGCAAGCUAUCUGAUAGUUGGUGGUUCACAAAGACUAAAUUGAGAAAUAGGGGAUUAAUAGAAUUACGACCUCUGCUAAAUGUGUAUCUGUGAUUUUUAAAAGAUAAUUCUCAUUAUCAAUUUAGCACUCUUAUUUAUUAAUCUUAACUCAAAUCACACUAUAAGAAAGUUCUCUGAGAUGUUUCCUGACUCUGCCCUACCAAUUUCACUUGCUUCAGUGAACCAGUAAGCCCAAGUCAAGAGAUCAUAAGUACUCGCUCAUCACUUUCAACCGGUUGAGACAUCUUAAUAAUCUGAUUAAACAUUUCAAUAUGAAACAAUAUUUUGAUGAAGCUACUAAAAAUGUUUAGCAUGCAUUCAUGUAUGAUUAUCCACCCAACUUAGUAAUAGCCUCAAUAUACUCUGACUCUUCAGAUCCAUAUGGUAUAAUAUAUUCAAUUUUUAGCAUCCUAUUUUAAAGGAAUUAUAAUAAACUAAAGUGUAAAUAAAGUGAUAAGGAGAGCAAGUAAACAAAAAAAAUGUGUCUCUAAAAAUAUUUAAAAGAUUGGGAAUGACAAAGAUAAAACAUUUGUGAAAACAGUCACUGUCAGCAAUAUGUUUAAGGAUGAUCUUUUGGAAAACAAAAUUUAUUUCUUCUCUGCUCUUCCACAGACAAAUUAAAGAAUAAAGAAGAAUAAGUAAAAAUAAAAGAUCCAUUUUGUAUCCAUUUUAAAAACAUUUUCUUAACAUUCUGAAAGAAACUUAUAACAACAGAAUGAGUUGCUUUAUAAAGCUAUGCCCUUUUUGUCAUUGAAAGUAUUCAAGCAGAGUUUGAAUUAUCAUCCCUUCCAUGAUUCAUUCAUUUAAUAAAUAUUCAUGGAGGGCUUAUUAUGUUCAUGGCACUGUGCUGAGACUAUGGGAAAUGUAAAGAUAAAUCAGACUGAGUUUUUCCAAGAUAGUGGAGCUGAGACUUGAACUGAAUAAUCAGAAAACAAGGUAAGAGAGGAAAAGUGCCAUAGAAGAUGUACUAGUAAGGGUGUCAAGGCAUGCAAAGGAGGGAGGCAUGAUUUCUGGUUCACAGGUAUUGAAGGAGUAUUUUUCUCUUCUCUGCUAUAAUCCAUUCUCCACAGAGCAGCAGGAAGUCAGUUUGUAUUACACUUUGGUCAAAGCCUUCAAUAGUUUUUUAUUGCACAUCCAGAAUUGUAAUACUGGUUUCUUGGGUCAGAUGUGAUCUGGCUUCUGCUAAUGUCCCCAGCCUCACAUUCCCUGUGCACCAGCACAGUAGUCUUUCUCCUUCUGGAGUGUAUCGAGCUCAUUCAUCUUCAGAUCUUUCUAUUUGUCAGUUCAUCUGCUGACCAGAUCUUGGUUUGCUUGACAAUUUCUUAGUUUCCAAUUUUCAGCUCCUAUGUCAUUUCCUCUAUGGGGCAGUCCUUGAGCUAGUACUCAACCUAAUUAACUGAGGGUGACUUCCUUUAUCUUCCAUCUCUCUAUACUGAUCACCAUUUUAUUUUCUUUCUGAUACUAUCAAAAUCUGAAAUUGUCCUUUAUCUUGUCCAUUUAUUUGUAAAUGGUCUAUUGCCUGUCUCUCUUAACUAGAAUAUAAUGAGAGUAAGAAUUUGUCUAUCUUGUUUGCUGCUGUGUCUUCAGCAUGUAAAUCAGAACAAAUCCUAACACGCUGUAAGUAUACAAAAAAAUGCUUGUUGAAGGUUGACUGAGUAGAGCUCUUGGCACAGGAUGGGAGUUUAGACCUGAAUCUUUAAUUCUUUCUAACUCUUAUAGUUAUGAUGUCAAUUCUCAUUGCUAAGUCCCCUCGACUAGGUUAGCCUUUCAACCAGGUCUAGAAUUAUGGUCAUUGUUUUCUCCUGCUCUGUGGGCACUCACCAACUUUCAGGCUCAAAUGAAGAUGUGUCUUUAGGUGAUCUUUUUCUAACUCUUCCUAAAUCAUGAUUAACUUUUCUUUUUAUACAUUCCUAAAAUGUCUAUCAGCUAGCAAUACUCUUUUUACUUGUUAUUCUGAUACUACUUUGUACUUCUUCUUGUUUGAUGGAUAUAGGAUUGCCUCUGCCAGUACCAGCUAAUUGAAAUAUAAGCCAUAUAUGUAAUGUUUUAAUAGCUGCAAAAAAGAGGUCAAAAGAAAUAGGUG